CCCAGGAGCCUCCGCGCCGAUUUCCGGGGCCGCCAUGUUGGGGCUAUAGGUCCGGCCCGCAGCCUGCCCGAGCCCUGCCCGGAUGGCGGGCCCCUUGGCUAACCGCUGAACCCUGGGCUCCGGCCUCUUCCGCUCUCGUUCCCUAUCCCCCGAUUCCCUGCGACAGCGGACGCGCCCUGGGGCGGCGCGGACGCAGCUGGAACUUCUACACCCACCUUGCGGAUCUGCAAGUUUUUUCCCUUUGGGCGAGCGCGGGGCGGGGGAAAGCGCGGUCGCUUCCCCCUGAGGCAGCGAUUCACCCGAUUCCUAGACAAUCUUCGAGCCUCCGAUUUGCAAUCCUUCCUUUGUUCCCGUGGGGUUUUCCCCCUCCCCCUCCCAACUUCCUGACUACAAACCUUGGCUCGUCGGUGGUUUCCUCGGUUUACCGGUUUCACCGACCUCACUGGGGCUGUAAGUCGCUGGCGCGCUAUCCGAGAAAUUUUAUUUAUUCAUGGGAGGCAGAGGGUGAAGCAGGCUCCAAGCAGGGAAGCCCGAUGUGGGACUUGAUCCCGGGAUUCAGAACCAUGCCGUGUCAAAGGCAGACGCUCAACCGCUGAGCCACCCAGGCGUCCCUUUUCCUAGGUUUAAAGUGACUUUCUUCUUUGAUAAAAUUUACAGCGUUGAUCUCCCAUUGCCGACCUUUUCCCCUAAACUUUCGUAUUAAUUUCAUUUGGGGGCUUGCCCUUCCCAACUCGUUUAUAUCUGCUGUUGUCGUUAGCAUGUAAUUCCCUUCCUGUUCCUUAGGACUUCUGGGGGUUCAUUUACCUCCAAAUUCUUGAUUUGAAAGCAAAGUAUGUAUUCCUUUUUUAUUGGAGCUCUCAGAGCUCGAAAUUUCCGUGAGAGUAACUCAGGAAGCCAGAGAUGGCAAUUUCCCAGAUUCCCUUGGACCUUGAAAAGUGCCCGAUGUGGGAUAUUGGGGUGCUAGGGGGUAGUUAGCGCUCCCUAGCGGCUCCUUGCUGGGCCACAGGCGCCAUUUUGAGCAAUAAUGCAUGACACCUAAAAAAUGUAUCAUGCUCCACAAUGCUUUCCAGCUAAUUUCUAAAACUUGUUUUUUACUCCUUGUUAAUCACAGGUAUUACUUAGUACUUUAUCUCUUAAGAAAAUUAACUGUAGGUUCUUUUUAUUCUAAUCCAUCCCAUUAUUUCUCCUUUAAUCCUGAUCAGGUAUUUUGUUCUUCCUCUUAUCCUUGAGGGCACCAGGGAAAUUUCUCAAAAUCCUGAACUGAACGCUCAUUCAAAAAUGUUAACUCUUACCAUCUUAAGUUUUAAAGCCUCUAUAGGUUUGGAUGUUGGGAACCCUGCUGAUCCUUGUGGUGCUGAGCGCGCUCAGUGGAUCUGCAGCCUGGUUCUCCCUGCUGUAGCAGCCCUUCAGGACAACACAUUCUGCAGGGUCAUUGUAAAGCACCUACUGGGUACUAUGCAAAAAAUGAGAUGAGCCACAAGCCUGGAAGCCAGUGGCACUGGCCAAUGGAAUGCUCAUUUACGGAAAUGUUCUAGAUCUACAAUGUCCAACAUAGUAGCCUUUAGCUGCAGGAGACCAAUGAUCAUCUGAAAGAUGGCCAAUUCAACUAAGGAACUGAACUAGUUAAGUUCAUUUUAGUCCGUUUAAAUGUAGUCAGCCACAUGCUAGUGGCUGCUCUGGAACAAUGUAGGCCCAAUGAGACAGGGGCCUGACUAUAUCCUUUUCAACACUGUGACCCAUCCCUGUAACAGUAUGUGGCACUUUGGCAGGCUCUCAAGCAGUAUUUGUUGACUCAACACAGCUUCAGAGUGACUUGAGUUUUAGCUGUCAGUCUGGAUUUUCCCCUAUUUCUGUCAAAUUAAGAAAUCUCCCUAUCAUUUUAAUUGUGUGGGAGGAUUGCUAUUGCUACAAAGUUCCCUUCUUCCCCUGGAGAGCUUGAGCAGUAGCUGGCAGUGCAGGCCACCAGUAAGAGGACUCCCAGUUUGUACUCCUAGACCAGCCAGGUCAGAGACUUGCAUUUCUGCUUCCACUGGUAGAAUGGCUACAUCAACAUUUCUCUAGAAGCUGCUGGCUAGAAUGAUAGCAGGACUUAAAGGGACUUUAUACACUUCUAGCCUUUAUAAGCCCUCAAAAAAGAAGUCAUAACACUCUACCUCUGAAACUAACGAUAAAAAAGCGGGGAAGGGGGCAUUGCUUCUAUUUACUCUACAUCCCACUUAGAAUUUUUUCAAAUAGAAACUCCUUAACAAUUGAUUCCUUAACAAUCAUUUCUUAAAUUAUUCUUAGAUCCCAUUUCAAGAACCUAUUAACAAUCUUUUCUGUGUUAAAUUCGUUAUUCCUGGUAUAAGCCAAAGCUGUUAGUCUCCAUAUUAUUUUGUAAUUUGUCAUACUGAUGAACUCUUAAAAACUAUUUCAGAGGAGAAGUUUUAAAGUGGUUGAUAUAUAAUAAUAAGCUACAAAUAUCUCGUUUUUAAUGUUUUUCUCAUUUUGCACUUUAGUAAUGCUGUGUAUACUUUGCAGAAUUUGUCAGCAUUCCAGCCUGUGUUUUGCCACUGAACUGCUCAUGUACCACAGGAAUUUUCUUUUAACAAGAAGUUGGAAAAUAUUCACUGCCCAGGUGUUCAGCUCAGAUAACAGAACAAGUUGGAAAAAACAAGACCUCUUUUACUAUACUUGUAUACUUAUGUCACCAGUUUUAUUCAGAGUUUGCCUUCUGUAUGAUUAUCUGGUAUAAAAAUAGGAUGAGACAUUUCAUUUUCACUCUU